GCCGGAAUCGCUAGUAAUCGCAAAUCAGAAUGUUGCGGUGAAUACGUUCCCGGGUCUUGUACACACCGCCCGUCACACCAUGGGAGUUGGAAAUGCCCGAAGUCAGUGACCCAACCGAAAGGAGGGAGCUGCCGAAGGCAGGUCCGAUGACUGGGGUGAAGUCGUAACAAGGUAUC
rnacentral:rRNA from 1 species